rnacentral:rRNA from 1 species
UACGAAGGGUGCAAGCGUUACUCGGAAUUACUGGGCGUAAAGCGUGCGUAGGUGGUUUCUUAAGUCUGAUGUGAAAGCCCGAGGCUUACCCUCGGAAGUGCAUUGGAGACUGGCGGACUUGAGUCCCGGAGAGGAGGGUGGAAUUCCUGGUGUAGCGGUGAAAUGCGUAGAUAUCAGGAGGAACACCGGUGGCGAAGGCGGCCCUCUGGACGGUGACUGACGCUGAGACGCGAAAGCGUGGGGAGCAAACAGG